rnacentral:rRNA from 1 species
AUUGAACGCUGGCGGCAUGCCUUACACAUGCAAGUCGAACGGCAGCACGGGUGCUUGCACCUGGUGGCGAGUGGCGAACGGGUGAGUAAUAUAUCGGAACGUACCUUAUUGUGGGGGAUAACGCAGCGAAAGCUGUGCUAAUACCGCAUAAUCCCUAAGGGGGAAAGCGGGGGACCGUAAGGCCUCGCGCAAUUAGAGCGGCCGAUACCUGAUUAGCUAGUUGGUGAGGUAAAGGCUCACCAAGGCAACGAUCAGUAGCUGGUCUGAGAGGACGAUCAGCCACACUGGGACGAAGACACGGCCCAGACUCCUACGGGAGGCAGCAGUGGGGAAUUUUGGACAAUGGGGGCAACCCUGAUCCAGCAAUGCCGCGUGAGUGAAGAAGGCCUUCGGGUUGUAAAGCUCUUUUGUCAGGGAAGAAACAGCAGCUCUAACACAGUUUGCGAAUGACGGUACCUGAAGAAUAAGCACCGGCUAACUACGUGCCAGCCGCCGCGGUAA